rnacentral:sRNA from 1 species
UUGCAAACGGAAUUGCCCUAUGGUCGCC